rnacentral:rRNA from 1 species
UACGUAGGGUGCAAGCGUGUCCGGAAUUAUUGGGCGUAAAGAGCUCGUAGGCGGUUUGUCGCGUCUGCUGUGAAAACCCGAGGCUCAACCUCGGGCCUGCAGUGGGGUACGGGCAGACUAGAGUGCGGUAGGGGGAGAUUGGAAUUCCUGGUGUAGCGGUGGAAUGCGCAGAUAUCAGGAGGAACACAAUGGCGAAGGCAGAUCUCUGGGCCGUAACUGACGCUGAGGAGCGAAAGCAUGGGGAGCGAACAGG